UUCUCAUAUAUUUUCUUUUACACUAGUAUGUAGCUUUUAAGCAACUAACCCCAAAGGGGAAAAUCUGCAGACAGAUCUCUGACUUGUUUUGGAGAAU